rnacentral:rRNA from 1 species
UACGUAGGUGGCGAGCGUUGUCCGGAAUAACUGGGCGUAAAGGGAGCGUAGGUGGUUAAGUAAGUGAAAUGUGAAAGCCCGGUGCUCAACACCGGAACUGCAUUUCAUACUGCAUAACUAGAGUGCAGGAGGGGUAAGCGGAAUUCCUAGUGUAGCGGUUAAAUGCGUAGAUAUUAGGAGGAACACCAGAGGCGAAGGCGGCUUACUGGACUGCAACUGACACUGAGGCUCGAAAGCGUGGGGAUCAAAC